UUCCAGACUCCUACGGGAGGCAGCAGUGGGGAAUAUUGGGCAAUGGGCGCAAGCCUGACCCAGCAACGCCGCGUGAAGGAAGAAGGCUUUCGGGUUGUAAACUUCUUUUAAGAGGGAAGAGUAGAAGACGGUACCUCUUGAAUAAGCCACGGCUAACUACGUGCCAGCAGCCGCGGUAAUACGUAGGUGGCAAGCGUUGUCCGGAAUUACUGGGUGUAAAGGGAGCGCAGGCGGAUUGACAAGUUGGGAGUGAAAACUACGGGCUCAACCCGUAACCUGCUUUCAAAACUGUCAGUCUUGAGUGGUGUAGAGGUAGGCGGAAUUCCCGGUGUAGCGGUGGAAUGCGUAGAUAUCGGGAGGAACACCAGUGGCGAAGGCGGCCUACUGGGCACUAACUGACGCUGAGGCUCGAAAGCAUGGGUAGCAAACAGGAUUAGAUACCCGAGUA
rnacentral:rRNA from 1 species